CUGAGUACGGCGGAACACGUGAAAUUCCGUCGGAAUCCGGGAGGACCAUCUCCCAAGGCUAAAUACUCCCUAGUGACCGAUAGUGAACCAGUACCGUGAGGGAAAGGUGAAAAGCACCCCGGAAGGGGAGUGAAACAGUUCCUGAAACCGUGUGCCUACAAGUAGUUAGAGCCCGUUAAUGGGUGAUAGCGUGCCUUUUGUAGAAUGAACCGGCGAGUUACGAUUUGUUGCAAGGUUAAGCGGAAAAAGCGGAGCCGUAGCGAAAGCGAGUCUGAAUAGGGCGCAUAAGUAACAGGUCGUAGACCCGAAACCAGGUGAUCUACCCAUGUCCAGGAUGAAGGUAAGGUAAUACUUACUGGAGGUCCGAACCCACGCACGUUGAAAAGUGCGGGGAUGAGGUGUGGGUAGCGGAGAAAUUCCAAUCGAACUUGGAGAUAGCUGGUUCUCUCCGAAAUAGCUUUAGGGCUAGCCUCGAGGUAAAGAGUCAUGGAGGUAGAGCACUGUUUGGACUAGGGGCCCUUCUCGGGUUACCGAAUUCAGAUAAACUCCGAAUGCCAUGUACUUAUACUCGGGAGUCAGACUGCGAGUGAUAAGAUCCGUAGUCGAAAGGGAAACAGCCCAGACCACCAGUUAAGGUCCCCAAAUAUAUGUUAAGUGGAAAAGGAUGUGGGGUUGCUUAGACAACCAGGAUGUUGGCUUAGAAGCAGCCACCAUUGAAAGAGUGCGUAAUAGCUCACUGGUCGAGUGACCCCGCGCCGAAAAUGUACCGGGGCUAAACAUAUUACCGAAACUGUGGAUGAACCUCUUUAGAGGUUCGUGGUAGGAGAGCGUUCUAAGGGCGGUGAAGUCAGACCGGAAGGACUGGUGGAGCGCUUAGAAGUGAGAAUGCCGGUAUGAGUAGCGAAAGAAGGGUGAGAAUCCCUUCCACCGAAUAUCUAAGGUUUCCUGAGGAAGGCUCGUCCGCUCAGGGUUAGUCGGGACCUAAGCCGAGGCCGAUAGGCGUAGGCGAUGGACAACAGGUAGAGAUUCCUGUACCAGUGCUAAUUGUUUAACCGAUGGGGUGACACAGAAGGAUAGGGAAUCGCACGAAUGGAAAUGUGCGUCCAAGCAGUGAGUGUGAGAAGUAGGCAAAUCCGCUUCUCGCGAAGCAUGAGCUGUGAUGGGGAAGGAAAUUAAGUACGGAAGUUCCUGAUUUCACGCUGUCAAGAAAAGCCUCUAGGAAGAGUAGUACUGCCCGUACCGCAAACCGACACAGGUAGAUGAGGAGAGAAUCCUAAGGUGAGCGAGAGAACUCUCGUUAAGGAACUCGGCAAAAUGACCCCGUAACUUCGGGAGAAGGGGUGCUCUAUUAGGGUGCAAGCCCGAGAGAGCCGCAGUGAAUAGGCCCAGGCGACUGUUUAGCAAAAACACAGGUCUCUGCAAAACCGUAAGGUGACGUAUAGGGGCUGACGCCUGCCCGGUGCUGGAAGGUUAAGAGGAGUGCUUAGCUUCGGCGAAGGUACGAAUUGAAGCCCCAGUAAACGGCGGCCGUAACUAUAACGGUCCUAAGGUAGCGAAAUUCCUUGUCGGGUAAGUUCCGACCCGCACGAAAGGCGCAACGAUCUGGGCACUGUCUCAACGAGAGACUCGGUGAAAUUAUAGUACCUGUGAAGAUGCAGGUUACCCGCGACAGGACGGAAAGACCCCGUGGAGCUUUACUGCAACCUGAUAUGGAAUGUUUGUACCGCUUGUACAGGAUAGGUAGGAGCCGAAGAGACGUGUGCGCUAGCAUACGAGGAGGCAAUGGUGGGAUACUACCCUGGCUGUAUGACCAUUCUAACCCGCCACGCUUAGCGCGUGGGGAGACAGUGUCAGGUGGGCAGUUUGACUGGGGCGGUCGCCUCCUAAAGAGU
rnacentral:rRNA from 1 species